CUGCAUUUAGCUACCAAGCAAAGAUUAGGAGUCUUUGUUUACUAGUUAAUUUCUUCUAAAUAGAUUUUGAAUCACAGUACUUGGACACUUCACUAGGGCUUGGGAACAUACUCUAAAGAACCUGCUUCUGCAUCCCAUCUGUAAGUGGAAGAACGAAAGUGCACAUGGCCAAGGCUAUAAUCCUAGGAUAAGGAGUUAGGAGUAAGAACAAGAGAGAUAUACUGACAAAUGCUGGAGAGAAUAUGAAAGGUAAAUGAUAGAACCAUGUAAGUAGGUGAAUAGGAAUAGAAAAUAAUGUAUGA
rnacentral:lncRNA from 12 species